rnacentral:rRNA from 1 species
ACGCGUUAAAUCGACCGCCUGGGGAGUACGGCCGCAAGGUUAAAACUCAAAUGAAUUGACGGGGGCCCGCACAAGCGGUGGAGCAUGUGGUUUAAUUCGAUGCAACGCGAAGAACCUUACCUACUCUUGACAUCCAGAGAACUUAGCAGAGAUGCUUUGGUGCCUUCGGGAACUCUGAGACAGGUGCUGCAUGGCUGCCGUCAGCUCGUGUUGUGAAAUGUUGGGUUAAGUCCCGCAACGAGCGCAACCCUUAUCCUUUGUUGCCAGCGGUUCGGCCGGGAACUCAAAGGAGACUGCCAGUGAUAAGCUGGAGGAAGGUGGGGAUGACGUCAAGUCAUCAUGGCCCUUACGAGUAGGGCUACACACGUGCUACAAUGGCAUAUACAAAGAGAAGCGACCUCGCGAGAGCAAGCGGACCUCAUAAAGUAUGUCGUAGUCCGGAUUGGAGUCUGCAACUCGACUCCAUGAAGUCGGAAUCGCUAGUAAUCGUAGAUCAGAAUGCUACGGUGAAUAUGUUCCCGGGCCUUGUACACACCGCCCGUCACACCAUGGGAGUGGGUUGCAAAAGAAGUAGGUAGCUUAACCUUCGGGAGGGCGCUUACCACUUUGUGAUUCAUGACUGGGGUGAAGUCGUAACAAGGUAACCGUAGGGGAACCUGCGGCUGGAUCACCUCCUUAAG